UACUCCUCAACAUAUUUCACCACAACAUGAGACGACUCGCCGUUUGAUGAAGGGUUCAGCAUCUUUUCACACGCAUUUAAGAACUUGCCCUGAAGAGAAAUCCAAAAGAGUUAUCCUGCAUUUUUAACACUUGUGAGACUGGCCUUUAAAAACUGUGCACUGUUGAGAUAAGAGGAAGAAAAGGAGGAAGAGAGAGAGAGAGAGAGGGAAACCACAAGUGUGGAGCACAGCACACACCGCUGAAAGAGGCGAGAAAAAAAAAUGAGACAUUACACAAGACUUCCUGAGUAUAAGGAGGGAGAGAUUGAUGUUUCCUAGGAAUGAAAGACCGGAAAUUCUGCAAUGAACGUAACAGACCGGUAUGUUCGCAAUCAUGUUCCUAAUCCAAAAAACCUACUUUAUUCCACUGGUGUUUUACACAUGUGGCAGAGCAGUUGUUCACAUCCUCAAAUGAGACCAAAGCUCUGCUAAAACGACUUGGGCCUGUGUCUCGUCCAGCUUCAGGUCUCAAAAUGCAGAGGACAGGUUACAUCACAUUCCUGUCCUCAGCUCACCAACUGUUUGGUAAGUUUAAAGCAGUCACCUGAUCGCAAAUGCUGCUGCUGUUCAGCUGAGGUUAGUCUUAACUUGCCUGAUUUAAUGAAAUGUGAGAGGUUCCUAAGGAAAAAAAAAAACAUAA